rnacentral:lncRNA from 1 species
CUCUGCUGAUUCAGAACACCAGACGGCUGGUCCGGAGGUGAUCUAUGAUGAUGUACCCUGUGAAGAAGAUCUGUCUUCAGGAGAAGCUGACUUGAUCUAUGAAGACAUACAGAAAGAGGAGGGCUUGCAAGGGCCCAAUAAUGGCUGGAGCUCAAGUGAGUUUGAAAGCUAUGAUGAGCAGUCUGACUCUGACAGGGCACCAACCCGCAGCAAGCUCUCCCCUGAUGUUCGACGACUGAGAGAAUGUUACACCAGGACCAAACAGGAGCUAGCCAUGAGACUGGGGGGCAGACAUCAGGUACACUCAUGCACGUAUGGGAAGAAUGGGCUUUAGUGGGGUGAAUUAGCUCAGAGCUGUAAAUUGGAGCAAUCACACAAACCUGGGA